AACCAUUCUCACCUGCGGCUAGACCUGCGGAGGGAUCAUUAACAAGCCUGUGAAGAUUAUAUUCCAAACGAAUAUAAUCUCUCACCCGGCCACCCUUGUUUACCUUGACCCUGUUGCUUUGGUGGGCCCGCCAGAAAGGCCGCUGGAAACUUUUGUUUCCGGGCGAGUGCUCACCAAAGUUUCAUUGAACUCUUUCUGAAGCUAUGCUGUCUGAGUACGUGAAAACAAAUGUUAUAUAAA
rnacentral:misc_RNA from 1 species